UUUUUUAGAAAAGGGGAAACAACUCCUUAAGUAAGAUAAAUAAUCAUCAAUUUACACCGACACACACAUGGUGAACAUUGUGUUGGAUCUGACAAUAGGUUUGAUAGACUUCAUAAGUGCAUCACCUAUGACAUAGUGUGACUUAUAGUCCUAAGAUUUUGAUGUUGUAAAGCAUUGUAUUUUUGUCCAUGCUGUUUUUCAGAGACAGUCAGUCACCAGUCAAAUUAAUCGUUGUUUUGUAAUUAGACAAAUAAAUGAAAUGUCUUGACAUCUAGUCUUAAGAUUUUGAUGUUGUAAGGUGUUGUGAUUUCCAG
rnacentral:lncRNA from 1 species